CUACGGGGUGCUCCAGUGAGUAAUAUUGCACAAUGGGGGGAACCCUGAUGCAGCAACGCCGCGUGGAGGAUGACGCAUUUCGGUGUGUAAACUCCUUUUAUAUGUCAAGGAAAUGACGGUAGCAUAUGAAUAAGCACCGGCUAACUCCGUGCCAGCAGCCGCGGUAAUACGGAGGGUGCAAGCGUUACUCGGAAUCACUGGGCGUAAAGGACGCGUAGGCGGGUUGGAAAGUCAGGUGUGAAAUCCUACAGCUUAACUGUAGAACUGCACUUGAAACUUCUAAUCUAGAGUAUGGGAGGGGGAGAUGGAAUUAGUGGUGUAGGGGUAAAAUCCGUAGAUAUCACUAGGAAUACCUAAAGCGAAGGCGAUCUCCUGGAACAUUACUGACGCUAAGGCGUGAAAGCGUGGGGAGCAAACAGGAUUAGAUACCCGCGUAGUC
rnacentral:rRNA from 1 species